rnacentral:lncRNA from 1 species
GAUUAUCUAAAAUCGGUCUGAAAAAACCUAAGCUGUAUACGUAAAAUUGUAUUGAAAAACAUAAAAACUCGAUUGGAGCACACCUUUGAUCCCUGAAAAUGGAAGAUGUUGAUGAAUGAUGAGAGGAAACUGAUUAGAUGCAGAGACGGAAAUUGGAGAAAGAAAAUGGGGUUGUGAAUUGCGAUUGGAACGCAUAAACUUCACAUUUUGUUACCGGUUUCCUGCAAUAACGACCAAUAGAAAUUAUAAGGAAAUUUUGGUUUCGCUAGUCCACUGGAUGGUCGAACAUCUAGCUACCUUCUAUCAAUUGUGGAUUUUUGAAUGAAUCGAUCAAAGGACUCAACAAGUUUGAUAUUUUGGGAAGAUUCUAUUCGAUCAAUAAACCGCCAACAAGAUUUCAAAAUCUCAACUGAAU